rnacentral:piRNA from 1 species
UGGGAACUCUUCAUCCUCCCAGGUAC